rnacentral:rRNA from 1 species
GUCGGAGGGUCUGCUUGGGGCUUGCUCCUGGGGGGUGAGUGGCGAACGGGUGAGUAACACGUGAGUAACCUGCCCUCUUCUUCGGGAUAACGGUUGGAAACGGCUGCUAAUACCGGGUAUUCACUGGUCCUCGCAUGGGGGUUGGUGGAAAGGGGUUUUUCUGGUGGGGGAUGGGCUCGCGGCUUAUCAGCUUGUUGGUGGGGUGAUGGCUUACCAAGGCUUUGAGGGGUAGCCGGGCUGAUAGGGUGACCGGUCACAUUGGGACUGAGAUACGGCCCAGACUCCUACGGGAGGCAGCAGUGGGGAAUUUUGCACAAUGGGCGCAAGCCUGAUGCAGCGACGCCGCGUGAGGGAUGGAGGCCUUCGGGUUGGGAACCUCUUUCGCUCAUGGUCAAGCCGCACUUUUGUCUGUGGUGAGGGUAGUGGGUAAAGAAGCGCCGGCUAACUACGUGCCAGCAGCCGCGGUAAUACGUAGGGCGCGAGCGUUGUCCGGAAUUAUUGGGCGUAAAGGGCUUGUAGGCGGCUUGUCGCGUCUGCCGUGAAAUCCUCUGGCUUAGCUGGGGGCGUGCGGUGGGUACGGGCUGGCUUGAGUGCGGUAGGGGAGA